rnacentral:rRNA from 1 species
UGGGGGAUAUUGCACAAUGGGGGGAACCCUGAUGCAGCGACGCCGCGUGGGCGAUGGAGUGCUUCGGCAUGUAAAGCCCUAUCAGCAGGGAAGAAAAUGACGGUACCUGACUAAGAAGCCCCGGCUAAAUACGUGCC